rnacentral:rRNA from 1 species
AUUGAACGCUGGCGGCAGGCCUAACACAUGCAAGUCGAGCGAGAGGCGGACGGGUGAGCAAUGUAUGGGGACUGCCCGAUAGAGGGGGAGAACUCAUGGAAACGGUGGCUAAUACAGCAUACGGUCGGAUAACCCAUAGGGGAUUAGCUAGUAGGUAGUGUAAUGGCUUACCUAGGCGACGAUCUCGAGCUGGUCUGAGAGGAUGAUCAGCCACACUGGGACUGAGACACGGCCCAGACUCCUACGGAGGCAGCAGUGGGGAAUAUUGCACAAUGGGCGCAAGCCUGAUGCAGCCAUGCCGCGUGUAUGAAGAAGGCCCUAGGGUUGUAAAGUACUUUCAGUCGGGAGGCGUUACCGACAGAAGAAGCACCGGCUAACUCCGUGCCAGCCGCCGCGGUAAUUC